CUGGGGGCCCCGGGACGCCCCCCGUCCCUCCCCGAGGAGAAGCCCCCCCUGCCCCUGCCCCUUGAGGCGAGCGGAGCCCCCUCCGCCCCCGGACACCUGGGCGCGCCUGUGACAGCCUGACGCCGAGGGCCCGGCCACCACGCCUGCACCCUGACCUGCAGAAACCAUGAUCAGCACAACAUUAAACUGAGCCCUGAGUUGGACCGUUACCAGUUCCCACGGUGUAACGACUCCCAUUGUGGCCGAUUUCCCAGGCCACCAACCUGAAACCACUAUAUGCGGACUUGGGAAGAGAUGUGUAACAGCUCACUGCCAGAGCUUCCACCAGACAGACAAUGUGGACGAAAAUAACCUCAGGAGCCCACAGAGCAGCAAAUGUCCUUUCAGACAUGGAAAGUGAUGAGCAGAGCCUCCUAUAGCAGCGUGGCCCACACAACACACGGCAUCGGGCACUCUUCUUUCCAGUCGGGAGCCCCUGCCCAGGAUGCGUGCCCCCACCGGUCCAGAGGUGAAGGCUGCUCACCCCGGGGCUGCCUCUGUCCUGACCUCUCUGCCUGCCUCCUACAGCUCGGGCGCACCUGUGACGCAAGCCUCAGAGCAAAUUCCACUCAGGAGAUCCAGGAAGCUCUGGCCUGUCCCUCCCGUCUAGAAAAGAAAGUCCAAGAGGGAUACCACACCCGGAGGAGGGGAGAGAGGACAUGACAACACCUCCAGGAAUGCAGGGCCCACGCAGGUAUCCAGUGGUGGUUUCCAGAAAGGACAUAUGUGAUGAUAUCACCCUGAUGACUCCUGGACUGUGUGUUUGUGUGUUCUUGUGUUUCAGCAUCCUCAGUUUUAAUUCUCAUAUAAUGAAUAUUAAAAAG